GACGUAGGGCGCGAGCGUUGUCCGGAUUUAUUGGGCGUAAAGAGCUCGUAGGCGGCUUGUCGCGUCGGCUGUGAAAACCCGUGGCUCAACUGUGGGCGGGCAGCUGAUACGGGCAGGCUGGAGUUCGGUAGGGGAGAGUGGAAUUCCUGGUGUAGCGGUGAAAUGCGCAGAUAUCAGGAAGAACACCCGUGGCGAAGGCGGCUCUCUGGUACGUGACUGACGCUGAGACGCGAAAGCGUGGGGAGCGAACAGG
rnacentral:rRNA from 1 species